rnacentral:rRNA from 1 species
AUUGAACGCUGGCGGCAGGCUUAACACAUGCAAGUCGAGCGGGGAAAGGUAGCUUGCUACUGGACCUAGCGGCGGACGGGUGAGUAAUGCUUAGGAAUCUGCCUAUUAGUGGGGGACAACAUCUCGAAAGGGAUGCUAAUACCGCAUACGUCCUACGGGAGAAAGCAGGGGACCUUCGGGCCUUGCGCUAAUAGAUGAGCCUAAGUCGGAUUAGCUAGUUGGUGGGGUAAAGGCCUACCAAGGCGACGAUCUGUAGCGGGUCUGAGAGGAUGAUCCGCCACACUGGGACUGAGACACGGCCCAGACUCCUACGGGAGGCAGCAGUGGGGAAUAUUGGACAAUGGGGGGAACCCUGAUCCAGCCAUGCCGCGUGUGUGAAGAAGGCCUUUUGGUUGUAAAGCACUUUAAGCGAGGAGGAGGCUACCGAGAUUAAUACUCUUGGAUAGUGGACGUUACUCGCAGAAUAAGCACCGGCUAACUCUGUGCCAGCCGCCGCGGUAAAAC